rnacentral:rRNA from 1 species
UACAGAGGCCUCGAGCGUUAGGCGGAAUCACUGGGCUUAAAGCGUGUGUAGGUGGAUGCCUAAGUACCUUGUGAAAUCCCACGGCUUAACCGUGGAACUGCUUGGUAUACUGGGUGUCUUGAGCCACUCAGGGGCUACCGGAACAAAUGGUGGAGCGGUGAAAUGCGUAGAUAUCAUUUGGAACGCCAAUGGUGAAAACAGGUAGCUGGGGGUGUGCUGACGCUGAGACGCGAAAGCGUGGGGAGCGAACAGG